UACGUAGGGAGCAAGCGUUGUCCGGAAUCAUUGGGCGUAAAGCGCGCGUAGGCGGCUCAAUCAGUCUGUUGUGAAAGUCAAAGGCUCAACCUUUGAAUGCCGAUGGAUACUGUCGAGCUAGAGUCCGGAAGAGGCGGGUGGAAUUCCUGGUGUAGCGGUGGAAUGCGCAGAUAUCAGGAGGAACACCAACGGCGAAGGCAGCCCGCUGGGCUAGUACUGACGCUCAUGCACGAAAGCGUGGGGAGCAAACAGG
rnacentral:rRNA from 1 species